UACGAAGGGGGCUAGCGUUGUUCGGAAUUACUGGGCGUAAAGCGCACGUAGGCGGAUAUUUAAGUCAGGGGUGAAAUCCCAGAGCUCAACUCUGGAACUGCCUUUGAUACUGGGUAUCUCGAGUAUGGAAGAGGUGAGUGGAAUUCCGAGUGUAGAGGUGAAAUUCGUAGAUAUUCGGAGGAACACCAGUGGCGAAGGCGGCUCACUGGUCCGAUUACUGACG
rnacentral:rRNA from 1 species